ACUAUUGAUGCUUUAGGGCGACAAAAGAUGCUAUGCUAAUUUCAUUGCAGCUCAGCUGAGACGAGAAGGAAAUAUACAUCACUUCUUUCCCAAUCUCACUUACUUUGAGCUAUUUUACAGGCGCCUCUCUUCACCAGAUGGCUCCCUGUCGAAGCAACGCAAACUGCCCGUCUCACCUACGAGAAAAGCUUCUUGAUCCACAACCAACUGCCCGUCUCACCUAUGAGAAAAGCUUCUUGAUCCAGCGAGAGAAAAGCUUCUUGAUCCACAACCAACUGCCCGUCUCACCUAUGAGAAAAGCUUCUUGAUCCAGCACCAACACCGCACACGUUCAUCUCGACCUUGUCUACGUGCAUAGAUUUCCUCCUGCUGAUACGGGGGAUCUUCUUCAGCUUGCCACCGCGGGAAUCCAG
rnacentral:lncRNA from 1 species